rnacentral:lncRNA from 1 species
CUGUCUGUUGCAGAAAGCCUUUCAAUAUUCUUCUUAGUGUCUCUAAUCCUGUUUAUAUCAACACCUCAAAGCUUUAAAGGGAAUCAGAAAUUAAUUUCCAAGAUUGCCUUAAAAGGAAAAGAAAAACAGAGGAAAUGAUAUCUUACAGACGAACAACAAAUUGAAGCAUCAAUUCUCCAAUCCGAAAGACCAGUUCAUCAGCUCCAAUCUUGAAGAUUGAGAAAAGAGUCUUCUGAAUCAUAUGGAUUCUUAUUAUUUUCUGGAGUCUACAAUCAAGAAAAAUAAAGCUAUUAGGCUGCACAUGAAUCAUAAAAAUGAAGCAUUCCUACAGCAAGUAGGCCAAGAAAGGAAAGGAUAAAGACGAGCAUGAGAUGAUUGAGUGAGAGAUGAGAUAAUUGUCAUGAUCUAAUCCAAUAGAUCAGCAACCUAAUAACUUCCAUAAGACGGAUCUUAAACCAUGUAAUCCAUCUAAUCUUAAAUACUAAUUCAAUCAUCCAUCUAGUCCCCAAAAUAUGUGUGUAUUUACUUGCUAGAUUCAUAGUCUGCACAGCUACUUCCAAGCUCUCACAUGUGUUUCAAGGACUGCACGCUGCCUCCUUGUAACUGAGAUGCUUUGUGGCAGGUGUUGACAUACGCAAUCCUGGCAGCCGGAACGAUGUCGGCCGAGCUAAUGUACUUGGCACACUACGGGGACGUAAAGGUAACGUGGAGCAAAGAGUGCAAUGUCUUCGGCAGCUUCUGCAAGAGGGCGACGAC